GACGAACGCUGGCGGCGUGCCUAAUACAUGCAAGUAGAACGCACAGUUUAUACCGUAGCUUGCUACACCAUAGACUGUGAGUUGCGAACGGGUGAGUAACGCGUAGGUAACCUGCCUGGUAGCGGGGGAUAACUAUUGGAAACGAUAGCUAAUACCGCAUAAUAUUAAUUAUUGCAUGAUAAUUAAUUGAAAGGUGCAAUUGCACCACUACCAGAUGGACCUGCGUUGUAUUAGCUAGUAGGUGAGGUAACGGCUCACCUAGGCGACGAUACAUAGCCGACCUGAGAGGGGGAUCGGCCAACCUGGGACUGAGACACGGCCCAGACUCCUACGGGAGGCAGCAGUAGGGAAUCUUCGGCAAUGGACGAAAGUCUGACCGAGCAACGCCGCGUGAGUGAAGAAGGUUUUCGGAUCGUAAAGCUCUGUUGUAAGAGAAGAACGGGUGUGAGAGUGGAAAGUUCACACUGUGACGGUAUCUUACCAGAAAGGGACGGCUAACUACGUG
rnacentral:rRNA from 1 species